rnacentral:rRNA from 1 species
UACGUAGGGGGCUAGCGUUGUCCGGAAUCAUUGGGCGUAAAGAGCGUGUAGGCGGCUUGUUAAGUCUUGCGUGAAAUCUCGGGGCUCAACCCCGAGCGGUCGUGAGAAACUGGCAGGCUAGAGUGCGGGAGAGGAGAGUGGAAUUCCUGGUGUAGCGGUGAAAUGCGCAGAUAUCGGGAGGAACACCAGUAGCGAAGGCGGCACUCUGGGGCGGUACUGACGCUGAGGAGCGAAAGCGUGGGGAGCGAACAGG